CGAGGCCGAUAGGCGUAGGCGAUGGACAACAGGUAGAGAUUCCUGUACCAGUGCUAAUUGUUUAACCGAUGGGGUGACACAGAAGGAUAGGGAAUCGCACGAAUGGAAAUGUGCGUCCAAGCAGUGAGUGUGAGAAGUAGGCAAAUCCGCUUCUCGCGAAGCAUGAGCUGUGAUGGGGAAGGAAAUUAAGUACGGAAGUUCCUGAUUUCACGCUGUCAAGAAAAGCCUCUAGGAAGAGUAGUACUGCCCGUACCGCAAACCGACACAGGUAGAUGAGGAGAGAAUCCUAAGGUGAGCGAGAGAACUCUCGUUAAGGAACUCGGCAAAAUGACCCCGUAACUUCGGGAGAAGGGGUGCUCUAUUAGGGUGCAAGCCCGAGAGAGCCGCAGUGAAUAGGCCCAGGCGACUGUUUAGCAAAAACACAGGUCUCUGCAAAACCGUAAGGUGACGUAUAGGGGCUGACGCCUGCCCGGUGCUGGAAGGUUAAGAGGAGUGCUUAGCUUCGGCGAAGGUACGAAUUGAAGCCCCAGUAAACGGCGGCCGUAACUAUAACGGUCCUAAGGUAGCGAAAUUCCUUGUCGGGUAAGUUCCGACCCGCACGAAAGGCGCAACGAUCUGGGCACUGUCUCAACGAGAGACUCGGUGAAAUUAUAGUACCUGUGAAGAUGCAGGUUACCCGCGACAGGACGGAAAGACCCCGUGGAGCUUUACUGCAACCUGAUAUGGAAUGUUUGUACCGCUUGUACAGGAUAGGUAGGAGCCGAAGAGACGUGUGCGCUAGCAUACGAGGAGGCAAUGGUGGGAUACUACCCUGGCUGUAUGAC
rnacentral:rRNA from 1 species